GUUUCUCCGAGUGUGUGUGUGAGUGUCUGUCUGCCAUGUAUGUUGGAGUGAGUGAUUGUGUGAAAGUAGCGUGUGUGUGUGUGUGUGUGUGUGUCUACCUAUAUAUAUAAAAACCUACACAGUGAUCUUAUUUGAUCUGAUCGGAUCUGGGCCCUACUCUGAUCGGAAAUGAUAGGAAAUUCGCUCGCGAGCCUCCAAGGCGUUGAGCAGCCGGCGAGUCAAACUCCAGGGCCUCCACGCUUUAAGUUGUGGUCAGAGGUGAUGAAUGGAUCAGAUAUACUAGUGUUCUGUGGGUUCGGGUCAUCUCGAACGUUACGGAGGACAAUGAGUAUAGAGGCGAUUCUGAUCUAA
rnacentral:snoRNA from 1 species